CAGCCCCUCGAGUGGUGGGGAUGAUUAUUUGGCCUAAAGCGUCCGUAGCCGGCCGAGUAAGUCCCCCGUUAAAUCCAGCGUCUCAAGCGUUGGACUGCGGGAGAUACUACUUGGCUAGAGAGUGGGAGAGGUCAGCGGUAUUCUGGGGGUAGGGGCGAAAUCCUUUGAUCCCCGGAGGACCACCAGUGGCGAAGGCUGCUGACUAGAACACGACUGACGGUCAGGGACGAAAGCUGGGGUAGCGAACCGGAUUAGAUACCCGAGUAGUCC
rnacentral:rRNA from 1 species